rnacentral:lncRNA from 1 species
AGUAUUAGAGCUCACCAGCCAGCUUAAUGAGGAAGGAAGACUCAAUGCAUAUCUCCGCCCAAAAAGAAGCCGUCCCUGGGAGACUUGAGCUUUCAUUGUAUUUUUAUCAUUUUUUGUAAUGAACAUUGAUUAAAGAAAUUAUUAAUAAAAGUUUCCUUCUUUUGGUGGUUUACGCAAAGUUAAAUUCCGAAAGUCCUUGAAAACAUUUCAUACAUUGCAUAGCAUAACAUAACAUUGCAUAACAGGUACUCUAAAAGAUCAAUGUUCUCA